UUUUGAUCUGUCAAUAGAUUUUCGUUUCCAUCAGUCAGUAACGUACUGGUUACUAAACGUGAAACUUGGAUGAAAACACGGUGGAAGGAGCCAAGGACGUCACUACCGCGGCGGAUGACGUCAAAAACCCAACUUUUCAAUGGGCGAUAUCUCGAUUAAUAUUGAAAGUUGAAAGUUGGGGUUUAGACAGAUCUUAUUAUUUCUAGCUAAUCUACAAGAAUUAAGCAUCAAAACACGAUUCUGUAACCAGCGUAGCUGACCCACACUCGAUUGUUGAGGACGGUAGUUGUCUUUAAAAGCACCCCCUUCCCUCCAAGUAUUAGAGUGAAAAAAAAAGAGCAGUUGCUGAUUUUGUCUCUGGUUGCAGAGCUUCCGAUCUUCAAGAUAAGCGUGACGUCUUGGCUGGUGUUCUGCGUGUGGGCGGUGCUCAACGCCAAAGUGGUGGAUCACGUGUCGGAUAUGACGAGGACGGGGAUGAGGAAGUACAACUCGUGCUUCGACGAAGUCUGCUCGGAGAGUGUGUGCCGCUCGGCGUGCGCCCACUACGCCAUCGCGUGGGUGGCCGAGACCCACUGCGCCCUCAGCCUCCUCCUGGGUCUCGUCUAUCGCCCGGCCAAGCUUCGCAAGCUCCUCAACGACCUCUAUUACCAAUGCACCCUCGUCAGAGUCACUUUCCCCAUCCAGAUCUGCAUCAGCACAUUCGUAUUGCUCGGUAUUCACGCCUGCACUUUCUGGAUGCAAUGGCAACGGAACAAUUAUGGAGUGGGGUUUCUCCACCGCUUCGGAUCACGAAGCUGGCGGUGGACCUAAAUCGAUGUUACACGAUCGACUUCCUCAUAUCAACACUGAAUUUCGUGCUGAGGACUAUCUACUUCUGCUUCUUGAACCUUAAAUUCUUGGUCUCGGCACCCAAACAUAAGCGUUCGAUCAAUGUGCCGAAACCAAUGACAAUCAUAUUUUUUCUGUCAGUCGUCGCGAAAUAUAUUUGGGUCUGUUACCGCUGUGAUUUGGCCUGCAUGGAGAUGAAUCAGACGUUGAACCAUGUAAGAAGACUACUGCUCAGGAAGGACUUAAAGUACAAUAGAACAGCGUACAAAAUAACAAAACGGUUCAUCUAUCAGAUAAAUUCCCAACCAGUUGCGUUUACAGCUUGCCGUCUUUUUUCCAUUGAUCGGAACUUGUUAAAAAAGGUAAAAACCGUUUGGUUAUAAAUAUCUUAUUUUUUAAAUAUCUUUAAUCGAAAAAGAACUUGGCUGGUUUAAGAAGUAUAAGAGUGGAAAAAUUGGAGCCCGCCUUUAAAUUCUUGCAGAAAGUAUUCAGAGAAGAACGAGCGAGGACUCAAAAAUUACGCGAGAGACUUCACCGAAAAUACCUCGGUUACAUGCUCAUGCUUCAUCUAUGCAUAUCCACCUCUCGUGUUCGACUAAAAUUCCAGACCGACUAUUUCAAGCUCAAUGCAGUUCACGUUUUUUCGUUCGCUUUGCUUUCAGAUUUGCGGCGUAACCACAACUUACUUCAUAAUAUUGUUGCAGUUCCAAUCAUCGGCAGAUUCGUAACCUUUCCGUUGAAACAUUUCUUAUUUUUGUGGACAGUUAUUAAACUGAAAUAAAAUGAAUUAUUACAAAUUUUUAAGAUUUAAGUUAUCGUUAUUUC
rnacentral:lncRNA from 1 species